rnacentral:tRNA from 1 species
CCCUGGUUAGCUCAGUUGGUAGAGCACUCCACUUCUAAUGGAGAGGUCCCGGGUUCGAUACCCGGACCAGGCG